CGGACGGGUGAGUAACGCGUGGAAAACCUGCCGUAUACUGGGGGAUAACACUUAGAAAUAGGUGCUAAUACCGCAUAAGCGCACAGCUUCGCAUGAAGCGGUGUGAAAAACUCUGGUGGUAUACGAUGGUUCCGCGUCUGAUUAGCUAGUUGGUGGGGUAAUGGCCUACCAAGGCAACGAUCAGUAGCCGGCCUGAGAGGGUGAACGGCCACACUGGGACUGAGACACGGCCCAAACUCCUACGGGAGGCAGCAG
rnacentral:rRNA from 1 species